UACGAAGGGGGCUAGCGUUAUCCGGAAUUAUUGGGCGUAAAGCGCGCGCAGGUGGUUUCUUAAGUCUGAUGUGAAAGCCCACGGCUCAACCGUGGAGGGUCAUUGGAAACUGGGAGACUUGAGUGCAGAAGAGGAAAGUGGAAUUCCAUGUGUAGCGGUGAAAUGCGUAGAGAUAUGGAGGAACACCAGUGGCGAAGGCGACUUUCUGGUCUGUAACUGACACUGAGGCGCGAAAGCGUGGGGAGCAAACAGG
rnacentral:rRNA from 1 species